GAAGGUCACGGCGAGACGAGCCGUUUAUCAUUACGAUAGGUGUCAAGUGGAAGUACAGUGAUGUAUGCAGCUGAGGCAUCCUAACAGACCAACAGACUUGAAC
rnacentral:rRNA from 5 species